AUAUAAAUUUUAAAAUUUUAAAAUGUUAAAUUCACUUUAUUAUUAUUUAAGUCUUUGGUUGUUAUUUCCUCGAGUUUGUAACAUAACCUUUCAAAAUCAAAUUCAUCCAUGAAUUACAAUUGCUCGAUUUUCAAAACUCAUGAACUAUCUUUGCUUGAAGACCAUGGACUGUCCCCUAAAUGCAGUGCCAACUUGAAAAAUCCCACCAUCAUCAUUUCCAUCUUGAUUUUCAUCUUAAUUUCUUCUCUUUCCCUCCCUUCUAUCAUCAAUCAACUCCUCCAAUCUCUACUUUAAGCAAGUGAAAAAAGAGAAAGAAUGCACUACAAAGAAAAGUGGCAAGAGAUAGCUAGCAAGUUGGGUUUUAAGCGGUUUUAACUUCUGAUGGAUUUGGAUUUCGGUAUGAGUAAAUAAUAAACGGUGGUGGUGAAGAGAGGGUUGCUGCUAUAAAUUAGAAGUUUAGGGUUGUUUUAAUAUACUUGUAUAGAUGUUAUAGCUGAUUUCAUCUUUCUCUUCUUUUGUUCAAUUUUGGCCCAUUUUCUUCGGCCUUUUGUCUAAAGGAGAAAGUUGAGUCCAUUUAGAAAAGGUUACUCUUGUAGUUUCAUCUACACAUUAUGGGCAAUAAUGUAAUUUAAUAUCCCUUAGGCCAAUUUAGGGUUUUCUGUUCUCUUCCCUAUUUAUAACCCCAUCGCUCUCUUCUUUCUUCCUCACUCAGUUGGCUCCGCUGUCCGCUCUAAUCAUUCUCUUGCCUGUGAUGUUCAACAUUUGUCCGUACCAUCUGAGAUUUUUAUCUUUGAUGUAUUCUUUCAAAGUUUAGUUUCUGAGGCAUCAAUAAUCCAAGCUAAAGGAAAACCUUUUUUUUUUCCUUCUUUUCUCCGAUUUCGAUUUAAUAUUUUUUUAUUGGUAUGAUUAUUUUGAGGCGGUGAUGAUGAAAAUUAUACCAUCAAACCAUGAGAGCUCUGCCUCGUUGAUGUAAUAAUAUUUCAACUCUCUGAGCCUUUUUUUAUGUAUUUUAUUUUUAGAUGAAAAAUCAAUAGAAAUACAAAGAAGGCAAUAAAUUAGAGUCACUGUUGCGCUAUAAUAAAAAUAGCGACUUCAGCGCUGUACGUUGCCAAUACAGAUUUGGAGCUGAGAUUCUGGCAUUUUGCUCUUUUUUCUUUAGUUUUAUGCAUUCAGAUGCUCCACAUUUUUUGAAGUUUUAGUAAUUUUUUUAAUUAAUUUGGAAUGAAGAUGGAAGUGAUGAUUAUUUCCCCAGAUGAUCGAAGCUGAACAUACUGUGCGAUUUGUUUUUUCUCUAAUUCGUUAGAGAUUCCAAGCCAGAACUCUGAUCCAUCUUCAUAUAUUCU